rnacentral:rRNA from 1 species
UACAGAGACCCCGAGCAUUAUCCGGAUUUAUUGGGCGUAAAGAGACUGUAGGUUGUUUCGUAAGUCAUUUGUUAAAUCUUCAGGCUCAACCUGGAGGCUGCAGGUGAUACUGCGAGGCUAGAGUACGGGAGAGGCAAGCGGAAUGCCCGGUGUAGCGGUAAAAUGCGUUAAUAUCGGGUAGAACACCAAAGGCGAAAGCAGCUUGCUGGAACGUCACUGACACUGAGAGUCGAAAGCGUGGGUAGCGAAAGGG